GGACCCAUGGCGCAGUGGUAGCGCGUGAGAUUCCAGUCCUCAAGGUCAUCCGUUCAAAUCGGGUUGGGUUCA
rnacentral:tRNA from 1 species